rnacentral:rRNA from 1 species
AUUGCAGCCUGCAACUCGGCUGCAUGAAGCUGGAAUCGCUAGUAAUCGCGGAUCAGAAUGCCGCGGUGAAUACGUUCCCGGGUCUUGUACACACCGCCCGUCACACCAUGGGAGCCGGGAAUGCCCGAAGUCAGUGGCCCAACCGCAGGGAGGGAGCUGCCGAAGGCAGGCCUGGUGACUGGGGUGAAGUCGUAACAAGGUACC